AACCCCUGUUCCUAGUUGCCAGCAUUCAGUUGGGCACUCUAGGGAGACUGCCGGUGACAAGCCGGAGGAAGGCGGGGAUGACGUCAAGUCCUCAUGGCCCUUACGGGUUGGGCUACACACGUGCUACAAUGGUAACUACAGAGGGCAGCGACUUAGCGAUAAGUAGCCAAUCCCAAAAAGUUAUCUCAGUUCGGAUUGCACUCUGCAACUCGAGUGCAUGAAGUUGGAAUCGCUAGUAAUCGUGGAUCAGCAUGCCACGGUGAAUACGUUCCCGGGCCUUGUACACACCGCCCGUCACACCAUGGGAGUUGGUUUUACCCGAAGACGGUGGGCUAACCUUUUAGGAGGCAGCCGGCCACGGUAAGGUCAGCGACUGGGGUGAAGUCGUAACAAGGUAGCCGUAGGGGAACCUGCGGCUGGAUCACCUCCUUU
rnacentral:rRNA from 1 species